rnacentral:misc_RNA from 1 species
GUGCUGUAUCGCCAACAAACAAACCCUUUUGGGGCUGCCUUACCCUCUGCAUCUGUGUAUCGCGGCCGCGUACGAGCCUGCACGCCUGCGCGCGCUUCGAGCCGCACAUACACGCACGCUCACCUCUCUGUCCUGUCUCUGCUCGCAUCACACGCCCGGCGUCUCCAUCCCACUCGCCGCGGCUCCUUACCGUCGGCGGCCAGGCCCUCGCCUGCCUCCAAUCACUGCCAGACCAUUCCCCCGCAAUGCCCCUUCGUGCAGGCGCGCUCAUAGCCUCGACAUCCGCUGCUUCUGGCGUGAUA